rnacentral:rRNA from 1 species
UUGAGCGAUUUACUUCGGUAAAGAGCGGCGGACGGGUGAGUAACGCGUGGGUAACCUACCCUGUACACACGGAUAACAUACCGAAAGGUAUGCUAAUACGGGAUAAUAUAUUUGAGAGGCAUCUCUUAAAUAUCAAAGGUGAGCCAGUACAGGAUGGACCCGCGUCUGAUUAGCGAGUUGGUAAGGUAACGGCUUACCAAGGCGACGAUCAGUAGCCGACCUGAGAGGGUGAUCGGCCACAUUGGAACUGAGACACGGUCCAAACUCCUACGGGAGGCAGCAGUGGGGAAUAUUGCACAAUGGGCGAAAGCCUGAUGCAGCAACGCCGCGUGAGUGAUGAAGGCCUUCGGG